rnacentral:lncRNA from 1 species
AUUGUCCGCGCGCUGGCCCGGGCGCCGAGGCGUGUCCCUGCCUGCGCCGCGCGGCUACCCCCGUGCCCGGCGCCGCCGACGGGAAGGCAGCGGCGGGGAGGCCCCCUGGAGGCCUGCUGGGAAAUGGCGGCUGGAGCGGCGGGCGCGUGGGUCCCCUCGGGGAGGCGCCCCAAGCCACGGUCCGCUCCCAAAGAGAAGCCCAGACUGGGCCCACAGUACCCGGGAAGGUGAGUCCUUACUCGGGGGCCCAGAUCUCCCCACGGAGGCCACAGAUCUGGGUCCCCGAGGAAGGAGAGCCCCCCUUUUCGCGCACCCACCUUUUCCAUCCAGCGCCCCGCGAACUCGCGGACGUGUAGGCCUCGAGCCACUCCUACUGUUGGGCUGCGUGACUCAGCGGCUCGAGGAGAGAAACCUCUCAAAACCGGGGGACCGAGACGGGGUUCAAUUUAAACCUAGGUGGGAGAAUGAGCCCACAAGCGCGCGCCCCUGCAGCUGCGGAGGCGCGCGCCCGCCCACCCUCGGGCGCCUGAAGUCGCAGCGGUUGCAGAGCCUCGAGCCCGUGGAUGCGGCGCGCGCCGCGGUCUGGGCCUGCGCGAGAGGCUGCCGCCCGCGUCGGGCCUGGGCCUACGCGUGUCUGGCCUGGGCCUGCCGGUGCAACAGCAGUUGUCGCCACCGGUCCUAGGCCGCGCCGAGCGAGUCGCCGAGAGGGGCGGGAAGAGGGGAGAGGUCCGAGACCAGGGAGCGGGACCUAAAGGGGGCUUUCCGCGCCCGACAGGUCCGCCGGGGUUAGCCUUCGAGGCGGGGAGAGGGAGCGGGGUCCUUCAAGGACCGCAUGUUCGCGAUAGCACAUUUGAGCCCUGGCAGGCCACCUGGGCCGCCUUCUUUCGGAAACCUUGCGGGGUUUCCAAGCAAGGUUUACAAUGGGAAACUUUAUUUCCCAUUGUAAGCUCUUACAAAUCUCCUCUGGCUAGAUCCUUCCUUGCAGCUCUCUUUGCUAGGAUUUAUAUUCCCAAACUUCUUCAGACGUGCCCUACCGCGAGGGAACGAACUGGUUUUCUUCCCGUUUUCACCUCCUUGUCUGGAGACAAAGGGGUGUGAGGGCGAUCCCAGAGCUGAACAAGCAGUUUCACGCCUCCCUGCCCGCUCAUGCUGUUUCCGCUUGCCCUGUGGUUUGCUCUGCCUGGAACGCCGCCCCCUACCUCAACUGCUACCCUGUCAUUCCACAAAGCCUACCCCACCUCCACUAAGUUUUCCGUGAGCCAGUGAGCUCCACACAGAUAAUGUGCCACCACCUUUUUUAAUGCUCCCACCGCACCUUAUCUAAACGUCUGUUUUAGCGCUCUAACACUUUUGCUCAUUUAUUUGUCUGUCUGACUUCCCCCUUCAGCCUUUGCUAGAAUGUAAGCUCUUUAUUUAAAGGCAAGGACCAACUCUUACCCAUCUUUGUAUUCCCAGCACCUAGCCCAAGUAGUAGGUGCUCAAUAAAUGUUUUAAAGCUGAAUGAAUUCAUGCAUCUUCCUUGAAAUCUGUCUGCUCUUACGUUAGUGGGGGACCUCUGCUAGCUCGGGAAUCAUUUGAAGAGAAGAGAUGACUUAUAUUGGCUGGACCCAAAGUUCACUGUAAUCCUCCCAGCUCAGUAAGUUACUGGCUGUUACCUACUUGUCGGGUUCUCUGGGAUGAUUCCAUAGAGUGCUGUCUCCCUCUAGGCAUGCGGUUUUUUUAGAGUGCUAUGACUUUGGGUUCAUACCAUGAAAAUUAUCUUCUCACACAACACAUUUUCCCAAAAAGGUAAGAGUAAUCCUCUUGGAUUUUGAAAAUUCUAGGUAUUAUACUCUCUGAACCCUACAACAUAAGAAUUUCUAUUCUGCUUCAAAGAUAACUGCUAUGGUUUAAUGUUC